rnacentral:rRNA from 1 species
AUGGACGCGCAGGCCGCCGUGACACGUGACGCCGUCGGCCUCGACGACCCGCUCGUCGCCCUCACCCUCGGAUCCAUCUACGCCGCCGCCCCGACCCCGCCGCCCAAGCCGCGGCGCCCCUCUCCUCCGACCCCUCCACCUUCCAAGCCGGCGUCCGCCACCCGCCGCCGCCUCAAUGCCUCCGCCCCCGGCCAGCGCCGCCGCGCGAGCAACGAGCCGCCUUCCGACGACGACGCCGCCGCCGCGGACGGGGCGCCGCCCCCGUUCCCGUGGGCCACGGAGCGGCCCGCGCGGCACGACACCCUGGACAGCCUGCUGCGCCGGGGCGUCACGACCGUCGAGGGCGAGGGCCGGUGCAAGCGCUGCAGCGGCACGGCGACCGUGGCGUACGAGCUGGCGCCCAAGUUCAGGGAGGUGCGCGAGUUCGUCGUCGCCAACCGGCACUCGUUCGACGACCGCGCCCCGGACGCGUGGAUGUACCCGGUGCUGCCCGACUGCGCGGCGUGCGGGGAGAAGCGAUGCAUGUGGCCGUGGAUCGCCGAGGACAAGGGCGAGAUCAACUGGCUGUUCCUCCUGCUGGGCCAGAUGCUGGGCUGCUGCACGCUGGAGCAGCUCAAGUACUUCUGCAAGAACACCGGCCGCCACCGGACCGGCGCCAAGAACCGGGUCCUCUACUACGCCUUCCUGGAGAUGUGCAGGCAGCUCGAGCCGCGCGGGCCGUUCGAUGACACCGUCGCCGACGGCAACGGGUUCCUGCACUCGUGA